UACGUAGGGGGCAAGCGUUGUCCGGAAUCAUUGGGCGUAAAGAGCGUGUAGGCGGCCUUAUAAGUCGGCUGUGAAAGUCAAGGGCUCAACCCUUGAAUGCCGGCCGAUACUGUGAGGCUAGAGUCCGGAAGAGGCGAGUGGAAUUCCUGGUGUAGCGGUGAAAUGCGCAGAUAUCAGGAGGAACACCGAUGGCGAAGGCAGCUCGCUGGGACGGUACUGACGCUGAGACGCGAAAGCGUGGGGAGCGAACAGG
rnacentral:rRNA from 1 species